ensembl:lncRNA
GAGGAGGACGGCGCCAUGUUCUCCGCGCACGCCUGGCCUGGGGUCCUCCAGUUUUCUCUGGGCAUAGGCGUUGGAUUCCGAGAAGACCCUUUCCAGAGAAACAAGUCUGCCCUUGAUCGUCCCGCCAUCCCUGGUCAAUUUGAGGUUGAGAAGCAGAAUCUUGUUGGAGCGAGCCCUUGAGAUGCAAGGUGGAGAGGAGGCAUCUCUGGACUUGUCCGCUCCCAUCCGGACACGUGGGGAAGAGGGGAAAACGAGCGACCAUGGUGGUGACAUCGGGGAGCUGGCCUGGCACACACAGCUGGUCUCUGUGUUCUACUGAAUAUGCAGAGUUCCAUGAAACGUAGACAUCGAGCUCUGAUGUUAGAUCCACGGCAAAAACGAGGCCCCUCCAUACUUGUCUGAACACAGAUAGGAGAAGAACAUUGCCCAAGCCACGAAAAUGACCAAACCUCCUACUGUCUCAGCCAGUCAGAGUGACUGCUCAUUCUUUACCAGGGGUUUUUCAGGAGUCUUCUCCAGCACCACAGUUCAAAGGCAUCAAUUCUUUGGCAUUUUGCCUUUACGGUCCAAGGGUAUACCUACACAUCCCUUUACUGCGGUUUCCCAUGGUGAUGGUCUCCCUCGCUGGGAUGAAGCACAAGCUCAGCUCCGUGGACUACAGCUCCAGAUCCACAUGUUCAUAUAUCCCUCAUGUGAUAUCUCAGGGAUGUCUCAAAAGUUGCUCAAACUCAAUAUGUGCUAGCUGAAAUUGUGAGCUGCAGUAUGAAGAGGGCCACAGCAAGGAAUGGAGGGCGGCUUCCAGCUGGCAGAAAAGGAGGCCUUCAAGAGCACGUGAAGAAAUGAGUGCUGCAAACGGCUACAUGAGCAUGGAAGUGGGUCCUUCCUAGUCAAGCCUCAGAUGAGACUCCAGUCCAGGCCAAUACCUCAGUUGCAGCCUUGCAGAGGACUCCUGACCCAUGAAAACUGCAAUAACAAGUGGAUGUGGUUUUAAGCUACUAAAUCUGUGGUAAUUUGUUACACAGCAGUGGAUAACAGAUACAUCCUCCAUCACCAAAUCCUACCAGUUUUAUCCCCUGACCCCCAUGCCCACCAAGCCUGUGUCACCACAUCACAGCCUCCUUUCUGGCUUCCACUUCAGGCCUUUCCUCAACUCAUCUUUCUCUGUCUUGUCCCAGCACAUGUUCUCAUGUGGGUCCUUUGGCUUGGAAUCUUCUUCUGUUCCCCGUGCUUCUGGGAAAUCUGAUUUAUUCCUCAAACUUUAGUCAUCAGUUACUCAGGAAAACCUUUCUUGAGUGUCCUAAGUACAACCCCCACUUGGCACCUCUCCUCAGUGGGUUUUGUCAUGGUUGCCAUUUUGCAGUUAUUUCUGUCAUUUUGUCCUUAGUGACUGCAUCUUCUAUCAGAAUGUAAGCUGUAGGGGCCAGGAACUAUGCUUAGUUUUGCACAUUACCGUACCCCCAGCACCUGGCAAACAGUAGAUACACUGGCUCGAGGAAGGAAUGAUCACAUGGACAAAUGAAUGGAUGGAUUAAGGUCUCUGUUUUUUUAAAG